rnacentral:rRNA from 1 species
AGAACGCAGCGAAAUGCGAUACGUAAUGUGAAUUGCAAAUUCAGUGAAUCAUCGAGUCUUUGAACGCACAUUGCGCCCCCUGGUAUUCCGGGGGGCAUGCCUGUCCGAGCGUCAUUGCUGCCCUCAAGCCCGGCUUGUGUGUUGGGCCCCGUCCUCCGAUUCCGGGGGACGGGCCCGAAAGGCAGCGGCGGCACCGCGUCCGGUCCUCGAGCGUAUGGGGCUUUGUCACCCGCUCUGUAGGCCCGGCCGGCGCUUGCCGAUCAACCCAAAUUUUUAUCCAGGUUGACCUCGGAUCAGGUAGGGAUACCCGCUGAACUUAAGCAUAUCAAUAAG